rnacentral:rRNA from 1 species
UACGUAGGGGGCGAGCGUUGUCCGGAAUCACUGGGCGUAAAGGGCGCGUAGGCGGCCUGAUAAGUAGGGGGUGAAAUCCUGCGGCUUAACCGCAGGGCUGCCUUCUAAACUGUCAGGCUUGAGCACAGUAGAGGCAGGUGGAAUUCCCGGUGUAGCGGUGGAAUGCGUAGAGAUCGGGAAGAACAUCAGUGGCGAAGGCGGCCUGCUGGGCUGUUGCUGACGCUGAGGCGCGACAGCGUGGGGAGCAAACAGG